GACGAACGCUGGCGGCGUGCCUAACACAUGCAAGUCGAACGGAACUUCUUUAAAGGAUUUCUUCGGAAUGAAUUUGAUUAAGUUUAGUGGCGGACGGGUGAGUAACGCGUGAGUAACCUGCCUCUGAGAGGGGAAUAACAUUCUGAAAAGAAUGCUAAUACCGCAUAACAUAUAUUUAUCGCAUGGUAGAUAUAUCAAAGAUUUAUCGCUUAGAGAUGGACUCGCGUCCGAUUAGUUAGUUGGUGAGGUAACGGCUCACCAAGACUGCGAUCGGUAGCCGGACUGAGAGGUUGAACGGCCACAUUGGGACUGAGACACGGCCCAGACUCCUACGGGAGGCAGCAGUGGGGGAUAUUGCGCAAUGGGGGAAACCCUGACGCAGCAACGCCGCGUGAGUGAAGAAGUAGUUUCGGUAUGUAAAGCUCUAUCAGCAGGAAAG
rnacentral:rRNA from 1 species